CAGCAGCCGCGGGAAUACGGGGGAUGCGAGCGUUAUCCGGAAUUAUUGGGUUUAAAGGGUGCGUAGGCUGUGCGGUGCGUCUGUGGUUAAAGGCCUCUGCUUAACGGAGCGUAUGCCAUAGAAACGGCCGUGCUUGAGAGUGAUUGCCGUGGGAGGAAUGUGUGGUGUAGCGGUGAAAUGCAUAGAUAUCACACAGAACACCGAUUGCGAAGGCAUCUCACGAAGUCAUAUCUGACGCUGAAGCACGAAAGCGUGGGAAUCAAACAGGAUUAGAUACCCCGGUAGUCCCUGUCUCUUAUAC
rnacentral:rRNA from 1 species